GGGUUGUGAGGUUAAGCGACUAAGCGUACACGGUGGAUGCCCUGGCAGUCAGAGGCGAUGAAGGACGUGCUAAUCUGCGAUAAGCGUCGGUAAGGUGAUAUGAACCGUUAUAACCGGCGAUUUCCGAAUGGGGAAACCCAGUGUGAUUCGUCACACUAUCAUUAACUGAAUCCAUAGGUUAAUGAGGCGAACCGGGGGAACUGAAACAUCUAAGUACCCCGAGGAAAAGAAAUCAACCGAGAUUCCCCCAGUAGCGGCGAGCGAACGGGGAGAGCCCAGAGCCUGAAUCAGUGUGUGUGUUAGUGGAAGCGUCUGGAAAGGCGCGCGAUACAGGGUGACAGCCCCGUACACAAAAAUGCACAUGCUGUGAGCUCGAUGAGUAGGGCGGGACACGUGGUAUCCUGUCUGAAUAUGGGGGGACCAUCCUCCAAGGCUAAAUACUCCUGACUGACCGAUAGUGAACCAGUACCGUGAGGGAAAGGCGAAAAGAACCCCGGCGAGGGGAGUGAAAAAGAACCUGAAACCGUGUACGUACAAGCAGUGGGAGCACGCUUAGGCGUGUGACUGCGUACCUUUUGUAUAAUGGGUCAGCGACUUAUAUUCUGUAGCAAGGUUAACCGAAUAGGGGAGCCGAAGGGAAACCGAGUCUUAACUGGGCGUUAAGUUGCAGGGUAUAGACCCGAAACCCGGUGAUCUAGCCAUGGGCAGGUUGAAGGUUGGGUAACACUAACUGGAGGACCGAACCGACUAAUGUUGAAAAAUUAGCGGAUGACUUGUGGCUGGGGGUGAAAGGCCAAUCAAACCGGGAGAUAGCUGGUUCUCCCCGAAAGCUAUUUAGGUAGCGCCUCGUGAAUUCAUCUCCGGGGGUAGAGCACUGUUUCGGCAAGGGGGUCAUCCCGACUUACCAACCCGAUGCAAACUGCGAAUACCGGAGAAUGUUAUCACGGGAGACACACGGCGGGUGCUAACGUCCGUCGUGAAGAGGGAAACAACCCAGACCGCCAGCUAAGGUCCCAAAGUCAUGGUUAAGUGGGAAACGAUGUGGGAAGGCCCAGACAGCCAGGAUGUUGGCUUAGAAGCAGCCAUCAUUUAAAGAAAGCGUAAUAGCUCACUGGUCGAGUCGGCCUGCGCGGAAGAUGUAACGGGGCUAAACCAUGCACCGAAGCUGCGGCAGCGACGCUGAUGCGUUGUUGGGUAGGGGAGCGUUCUGUAAGCCUGCGAAGGUGUGCUGUGAGGCAUGCUGGAGGUAUCAGAAGUGCGAAUGCUGACAUAAGUAACGAUAAAGCGGGUGAAAAGCCCGCUCGCCGGAAGACCAAGGGUUCCUGUCCAACGUUAAUCGGGGCAGGGUGAGUCGACCCCUAAGGCGAGGCCGAAAGGCGUAGUCGAUGGGAAACAGGUUAAUAUUCCUGUACUUGGUGUUACUGCGAAGGGGGGACGGAGAAGGCUAUGUUGGCCGGGCGACGGUUGUCCCGGUUUAAGCGUGUAGGCUGGUUUUCCAGGCAAAUCCGGAAAAUCAAGGCUGAGGCGUGAUGACGAGGCACUACGGUGCUGAAGCAACAAAUGCCCUGCUUCCAGGAAAAGCCUCUAAGCAUCAGGUAACAUCAAAUCGUACCCCAAACCGACACAGGUGGUCAGGUAGAGAAUACCAAGGCGCUUGAGAGAACUCGGGUGAAGGAACUAGGCAAAAUGGUGCCGUAACUUCGGGAGAAGGCACGCUGAUAUGUAGGUGAAGUCCCUCGCGGAUGGAGCUGAAAUCAGUCGAAGAUACCAGCUGGCUGCAACUGUUUAUUAAAAACACAGCACUGUGCAAACACGAAAGUGGACGUAUACGGUGUGACGCCUGCCCGGUGCCGGAAGGUUAAUUGAUGGGGUUAGCGCAAGCGAAGCUCUUGAUCGAAGCCCCGGUAAACGGCGGCCGUAACUAUAACGGUCCUAAGGUAGCGAAAUUCCUUGUCGGGUAAGUUCCGACCUGCACGAAUGGCGUAAUGAUGGCCAGGCUGUCUCCACCCGAGACUCAGUGAAAUUGAACUCGCUGUGAAGAUGCAGUGUACCCGCGGCAAGACGGAAAGACCCCGUGAACCUUUACUAUAGCUUGACACUGAACAUUGAGCCUUGAUGUGUAGGAUAGGUGGGAGGCUUUGAAGUGUGGACGCCAGUCUGCAUGGAGCCGACCUUGAAAUACCACCCUUUAAUGUUUGAUGUUCUAACGUGGACCCGUAAUCCGGGUUGCGGACAGUGUCUGGUGGGUAGUUUGACUGGGGCGGUCUCCUCCUAAAGAGUAACGGAGGAGCACGAAGGUUGGCUAAUCCUGGUCGGACAUCAGGAGGUUAGUGCAAUGGCAUAAGCCAGCUUGACUGCGAGCGUGACGGCGCGAGCAGGUGCGAAAGCAGGUCAUAGUGAUCCGGUGGUUCUGAAUGGAAGGGCCAUCGCUCAACGGAUAAAAGGUACUCCGGGGAUAACAGGCUGAUACCGCCCAAGAGUUCAUAUCGACGGCGGUGUUUGGCACCUCGAUGUCGGCUCAUCACAUCCUGGGGCUGAAGUAGGUCCCAAGGGUAUGGCUGUUCGCCAUUUAAAGUGGUACGCGAGCUGGGUUUAGAACGUCGUGAGACAGUUCGGUCCCUAUCUGCCGUGGGCGCUGGAGAACUGAGGGGGGCUGCUCCUAGUACGAGAGGACCGGAGUGGACGCAUCACUGGUGUUCGGGUUGUCAUGCCAAUGGCACUGCCCGGUAGCUAAAUGCGGAAGAGAUAAGUGCUGAAAGCAUCUAAGCACGAAACUUGCCCCGAGAUGAGUUCUCCCUGACUCCUUGAGAGUCCUGAAGGAACGUUGAAGACGACGACGUUGAUAGGCCGGGUGUGUAAGCGCAGCGAUGCGUUGAGCUAACCGGUACUAAUGAACCGUGAGGCUUAACCUUACAACGCCGAAGCUGUU
rnacentral:rRNA from 1 species